CCUACGGGAGGCUGCAGUGAGGAAUAUUGGUCAAUGGGCGCGAGCCUGAACCAGCCAAGUCGCGUGAGGGAAGACGGUCCUAUGGAUUGUAAACCUCUUUUGUCGGGGAGCAAAAGACGCCACGCGUGGCGUGCCGAGAGUACCCGAAGAAAAAGCAUCGGCUAACGCCGUGCCAGCAGCCGCGGUAAUACGGAGGAUGCGAGAUUUGGCCGGAUUGAUUGGGUUUAAAGGGUGCGCAGGCGGCAGAUCAAGUCAGCGGUAAAAUUGAGAGGCUCAACCUCUUCGAGCCGUUGAAACUGGUUGUCUUGAGUGAGCGAGAAGUAUGCGGAAUGCGUGGUGUAGCGGUGAAAUGCAUAGAUAUCACGCAGAACUCCGAUUGCGAAGGCAGCAUACCGGCGCUCAACUGACGCUCAUGCACGAAAGUGUGGGUAUCGAACAGGAUUAGAUACCCUGGUAGUC
rnacentral:rRNA from 1 species